UUUGCAUUUCCAUCAGCUGAACACAACAGGAACCAGAAUGCUGUAAACCAAAGAGGAGUUCAUGCUUGUUGAGCAGGCUGGACAUCCAGACUGGAUGACAGAGGCCCGCCAAAGCCCUUUUAUUACUCCCCUGCUCAACUGGGCAGGGUAGAGAAAAUAUAAUAGAAGGUUCUUGGAUUGAGGAGAAGGAAUUCUUCCCCUGCUCUAAUGUGGCAGCCCUCUCACGGGAGAUAGGACUCUACAAACUUCUCCCAGGGCCACAGAUCCUGACAGGAGCCUGCUUCCCACAGAGUCAUAGCCUUCUUUUGGGCAUCCAGCUGCUCCAGCAUGGGGUCCUCCAGGGUCUGUAGGUCUCUGCUCCACCAUGGAGCUCCACUGGCUGCAGGGGCACUGCUGCCUCACCAUGGUCUUUGCCAUGGGCUGAUGGGCUGGUACCUGGCACCUCCUCCCUCUCCUACUUCACUGACUUUGGUGUUUUUCUCACAUAUAUUGACUUUUCUCUGGUUGCAUUUUCCUUCUGCUCAGUAACUUCUUCCUCUUCUGAAAUCCAGAGGCACUACCAUUGUCACUGAUGGGCUCAGCUUUGGCCGGUGACACAUCUGUCUUGGAGCCAUCUGGCACUGGAUCUACUGGAUGUAGGGGAAGCUUCUGGCAGUUUCUCACAGAAAGCACUGCUGAAAUGCUCCCUCUGUCCCCCACCCUGCUGCUACUGAAAGUUUGCCACACAAACUGGAGGAAAAGCAAGACAAAUAGUGUCAAGAUAUGUUGCUGUCACGUAAAUGUGUAUACACAGAACUUCAGUAAGAAUGACUUGAAUCCAAGAUUUGCACUGUAUACAUUUUGAGAAAGUCAUCUUGACUUUCUAACCAAAUUGUUUUCUUGUGUUUUGGCCCCAAAGGAGCACUUUGAAAAGACCAGACAGUAAACUGCUUCCUUUAUAAUUCUGGGCUCUAACAGAAGUGUCAAGAAGGUGAUGAGAACAUAUUACACUCUCAUAGUAUAAGCCACAAGCAUCAUUUUAUAGCAAACCAUCUGUCAGCUAGUAGAGAAAGCAGUGUGGAGAUAUUUUAGUUUUCCUGAACUUAUUAUACAUCCUAACACACAUAGCAUGCCUUCACAAAACAUAAUAUACUAAUGAGCAUUAAUAAAAGGUAAUUGUGUGUGUCCACCCAGGAUUCCAGCAUUGCUUCUGGAACUGUGCCAGUGUGGACUUUCAAGGUUAGGAAAACACAAUGAUAUUAACAGUUCCAAAAAUUCCCUCAAAAUAGACUGGUUUCUUGAGGGUGGGGCCAUUGCUGACAUAUAAAUUUAGCAGGAACACGGCAGAAAACAUGCCUGACUCUAUCACUGAUAUUCAUCCCAGCAACCAAGAGCUACUAAAACAUGACUAUUGGUGCCCAUAGGAGGGAGAAGCACUUCCAAAAAGAGGUUUUUAUUCCAUUUUAAGAUAGCUAAUUAAUCUCUGGAAUGAAUCACCUUUUAAAAAGUUUAAAAAUAAGAGAAAGAGAGAAAUUAUUUAGUUAGGACCAUGUAGUAAUGCAGUAUUUAUGUAGUAAAAAACACAAUAAGAUUUGACACUAAAUGUGAAAAAAACAGAAGAGAUUGCUUAUGUUUAGAAAGAUUGUAAAUAUUUGUGAGCCAGUAU